rnacentral:rRNA from 1 species
ACUGAAUAGAUACCCCGGUAGUCCACGCCCUAAACGAUGUCAACUAGGUGUUGGAGGAGCAAUCUUUCAGUACCGCAGCUAAACGCGUGAAGUUGACCGCCUGGGGAGUACGGUCGCAAGAUUAAAACUCAAAGGAAUUGACGGGGACCCGCACAAGCGGUGGAUGAUGUGGAUUAAUUCGAUGCAACGCGAAAACCUUACCUACCCUUGACAUGUCUGGAAUCCUGCUGAAAGGCGGGAGUGCCCGAAAGGGAACCGGAACACAGGUGCUGCAUGGCUGUCGUCAGCUCGUGUCGUGAGAUGUUGGGUUAAGUCCCGCAACGAGCGCAACCCUUGUCCUUAGUUGCUACGCAAGGGCACUCUAAGGAGACUGCCGGUGACAAACCGGAGGAAGGUGGGGAUGACGUCAAGUCCUCAUGGCCCUUAUGGGUAGGGCUUCACACGUCAUACAAUGGUCGGUACAGAGGGUUGCCAACCCGCGAGGGGGAGCCAAUCCCAGAAAGCCGAUCGUAGUCCGGAUCGCAGUCUGCAACUCGACUGCGU